rnacentral:lncRNA from 1 species
ACAUGCUUCUACAACUCGAGAGCCAACAUCUCCUGUGUCUGGAGCCAAGAUGGGGCUCUGCAGGACACUUCCUGCCAAGUCCAUGCCUGGCCGGACAGACGAUCACUCCAGCUGCCGUGGGACCAGGCUGGGAUGAGGGAGCAGGACAAGGUGCCCAUGAGGGAGGAAUGCCAUGGAGCCAGUGGGGGAGGCAGUGCCCCUCACAGUGGUUGGCACAGGGGCCCCAGCCUGGCCUUGCUGCCUGGUGCCAUCCUGGCAGCAGAGAGAUCUGAGAAGAGUCCCUUGGGCCAGCUGUGUGGGUCCUUCCUGUUCUUCUAAAGAGGGUCUUUUGCCAUGAAAGGCGGUGGAACCAAACCUGUGAGCUGCUCCCCGUGAGUCAAGCAUCCUGGGCCUGCAACCUGAUCCUCGGAGCCCCAGAUUCUCAGAAACUGACCACAGUUGACAUCGUCACCCUGAGGGUGCUGUGCCGUGAGGGGGUGCGAUGGAGGGUGAUGGCCAU